UUCGGGGUACUCGAGUGGCGAACGGGUGAGUAACACGUGGGUGAUCUGCCCUGCACUUUGGGAUAAGCCUGGGAAACUGGGUCUAAUACCGAAUAGGACCACGCGCUUCAUGGUGUGUGGUGGAAAGCUUUUGCGGUGUGGGAUGGGCCCGCGGCCUAUCAGCUUGUUGGUGGGGUAAUGGCCUACCAAGGCGACGACGGGUAGCCGGCCUGAGAGGGUGACCGGCCACACUGGGACUGAGAUACGGCCCAGACUCCUACGGGAGGCAGCAGUGGGGAAUAUUGCACAAUGGGCGCAAGCCUGAUGCAGCGACGCCGCGUGAGGGAUGACGGCCUUCGGGUUGUAAACCUCUUUCAAUAGGGACGAAGCGCAAGUGACGGUACCUAUAGAAGAAGCACCGGCCAACUACGUGCCAGCAGCCGCGGUAAUACGUAGGGUGCGAGCGUUGUCCGGAAUUACUGGGCGUAAAGAGCUCGUAGGUGGUUUGUCGCGUUGUUCGUGAAAACUCACAGCUUAACUGUGGGCGUGCGGGCGAUACGGGCAGACUAGAGUACUGCAGGGGAGACUGGAAUUCCUGGUGUAGCGGUGGAAUGCGCAGAUAUCAGGAGGAACACCGGUGGCGAAGGCGGGUCUCUGGGCAGUAACUGACGCUGAGGAGCGAAAGCGUGGGGAGCGAACAGGAUUAGAUACCCUGGUAGUCCACGCCGUAAACGGUGGGUACUAGGUGUGGGUUCCUUCCUUGGGAUCCGUGCCGUAGCUAACGCAUUAAGUACCCCGCCUGGGGAGUACGGCCGCAAGGCUAAAACUCAAAGGAAUUGACGGGGGCCCGCACAAGCGGCGGAGCAUGUGGAUUAAUUCGAUGCAACGCGAAGAACCUUACCUGGGUUUGACAUGCACAGGACGCCGGCAGAGAUGUCGGUUCCCUUGUGGCCUGUGUGCAGGUGGUGCAUGGCUGUCGUCAGCUCGUGUCGUGAGAUGUUGGGUUAAGUCCCGCAACGAGCGCAACCCUUGUCCUAUGUUGCCAGCGGGUUAUGCCGGGGACUCGUAGGAGACUGCCGGGGUCAACUCGGAGGAAGGUGGGGAUGACGUCAAGUCAUCAUGCCCCUUAUGUCCAGGGCUUCACACAUGCUACAAUGGCCGGUACAAAGGGCUGCGAUGCCGUGAGGUGGAGCGAAUCCUUUCAAAGCCGGUCUCAGUUCGGAUCGGGGUCUGCAACUCGACCCCCGUGAAGUCCUGGAGUCGCUAGUAAUCGCANCGAUCAGCAACGCUGCGGUGAAUACGUUCCCGSGCCUUGUACACACCGCCCGUCACGUCAUGAAAGUCGGUAACACCCGAAGCC
rnacentral:rRNA from 1 species